CAGUGGGGAAUAUUGCACAAUGGGCGCAAGCCUGAUGCAGCCAUGCCGCGUGUAGUGAAGAAGGCCUUGGGGUUGUAAAGUCUGUGAUCGGGGACGAACGGUCCGUAAAGCCAAUACCUUAUGGAAGUGACGGUACCCGCAAKAAGCAAGCCACGGCUAACUACGUGCCAGCAGCCGCGGU
rnacentral:rRNA from 1 species